CAUUAUAGUAAUUAUAAUGUCUAUAAUAAAACAACACCAUCGAUAUUCAUAGCAUUAGGAAAAAAAUACGUUUUACCUGCCAAUUCAAAGAAAGGUGAAAUUAGGUAAGGUCACAAGGUCUACCAAUUAACGCCUUUGUGGUGCCCAAGCACUUGUGGAGCCAUCAAUGUAUAAAUACAUUAAUAAAAAAAAUUCACUCUGGCCAUGGCAUGUACAUACAUGUCAUCACAAUGGCAAUAGGUUAUCAAUAAUGAUGGGUAAAAUUUUCAGUAGUCAGGGAAGGAUAGGACACCGAGACUUUAUCUUGUUUGCUUGUACUCAGAGAUACUUCGGACACUUUUUAUGGAAACCUUUUGUAUCUGGAAUAGCUGGACCUGAAGUUCCUUCCCCCUUGGUGGUGGUCAGGAAUUACUGACUUUCACUGAAAAAGGUAUCCGAAGUUUCCCAGAAUAUCAGCUGUAGAUGAUGUGGCACCUGGUGUCUGUGAUUAUUUAUCCUUAUGCAAUAGCAUGUUACCCUUUGCCCAAAGGUUAGGAAAAGUUGGUUUUAGUUACCAAAGCAUGAUUUUUUCCACCCUUAGGUGGUGCCAAUUUCUUGGUUACACCUAAGGGGACAUAAGGAAAUGCCCUGGGUAACUAGAACAACAAAAUAUUUUGAAGUAGUUGGUUGUCCAAAGGUACUGAGAGACUCAAAUUAUCACUAUAACGUCUUUGGUCAUAUAAUUUUUUGCCACACACCACAGUAACCACAAUUCCCAACAGACCCAGACCUGGAUGCAUCCAAAAGGAUAGCUGUACUGCAGGCACGGAUUCAAGAGUUGAAGAGAACCUACAUGCAAGUCAAGACGGAAUUAGCCUCUGUUGAACGCAGACGGAAAAAGCUUCGCAGGAAAGAGCGAGAAAAAGAGACCAAGGCAGAACCCACAUGAAAAGUGGAGUCUUUAAAACCCAGUCAAAGUGAAGGCUUACCAUUUAUAAGGUCUGAUGCCUGAGCAGCAGCAGUGAAUUUUUGCUGUAAAAGAAGAAUGGAUCUCAAGUAGUGCAGUGUAUGUGUUGAUUGACAGAAAUGUUUGUCUGCCUCAAAGGUGACAGGUUGUGCUUGAAAUAUAUUUAAGGUUUUAAAAGAUUUUUUCAAAAAUCACUUUUACUUGGUAUUAUUCAAGAUUCUGACUCUGACACUGUUUUCUCUCUCUCUCUCUCUCUCAUUUUCUCCCUUUCAUUGUACUAUGAAGUGAAAGCUCAAAAAGCUGGUUAUUCCAGCAUAAAUGAUUCAGGCAAGAGGAUGUGCCAUGGUAGUUUUAUCGAAGGGUCCUCUCAAUCUAAGUACUGGAACAGGGUAGUUUCGUUACUGUAAGGAAAGCUUUAAUAUGAAUGUAAGGACCAAUGGUGGUCAUAUCUACACAUAUACAACACUCUUGGAUAGAUCAAGUUGCCUGAGCUCUGAACUGCUGUAGCUUUCUUUUUUCUUUUUUUUCGGUAAUUUGCCAAACUCGGUGAUUAUAAUGUAGUUGUUGGGAGUUUAGAUUGCCAUUGUGUAUAGUAGUUAUAUGAAGUGUACAUAAGACAUACACAGAUAUUCGUGAUACUUAAGGUACUUUUUUAUUGUUAUCUUUUAUAGGGUAAUAUACCAGAAAAGUAUGAAGUUUUUUAUUGUGAAACUAACACGAGUGAAUGCCUUUUUGAGAAUUAUGUAUAUUGUGAGUAAUAUAUGAUGGAAUGAGUGUGAAAGAUUGAGUGGAGGCGCAAACCAUAAGGUAUUUAUGAAAAUUUGUAAUAUUUUUUAUACGGACUUUAAAAUUUUUUACUGUGUAUCUUCCUCAUACUCAUGUAAAUGAUGUCUCCUGCGAAGUACAAGUUGUACAUGUGCACUUGCAUGAACCUAGCCUAGGCUCUUGCCUACGUACAUUGCCUAUCAACACAACUCAUUUGAUGUAAUUUAGAUAUGUUGAUAAGCCUUUUAUCACUAGCAUUUUUACCAGUUUCAAUGAGAGCACUCUACCUUGUUUCCAUUACUGGGCAUCAGCAUUUAGUUGUUUUUUAGAAACUGAAUGCCAGCAAUUUAAAGUUUUGGGUAAAUAUGCAGAACACUGAACAGGUGGCCUGAGCCUCUGUUUCAUGCAAGUUUUUAUCUGUGAACGACUGCAAUUCCUUGGUCUUAUUUACUCUUUUUUGUGUCCAGAGUGGAGGCACUCUGGAGUAAGAUAACAAGACACAUUUUUAUGUGGCCUAAUAUAGAGAAAUAGUGAUGUCAGAUGCUUUACUAAACUUUCAUCUAGCAUUUAAUAUCUACAAAUGCUUAUUUAAUUCUUAAGUCUAGGGGUAUCUCAUGAGAGAAGUACCCCAGAAACAGUGUAAUGGCACGUGUGAAUACUACAAAAAGUGGCAUUAUAGGAUUAUGUCCUUGUUCAAGUCUGGGAAAAGUUUAAUGUAAAUCUGAAAGGAGUUCAAUUUUUGAAUAGGAAUUUUUUCUUUUUUCUUGUAGACUUGUCUUUGGUCUUCUUGUUUCUUUUAAAUAUUACCGGUUCAUUUUAAAUCAGGAUAAAGAAAUAAGGUAUAUUUAUUUUUUGUGAAAAUGUUCUUUGUAUGUGUGAAAGACCAAAAUUUAUGCUUAUGUCCAGGAAUUGCACACUUCAUUUAAUGCAUAAGCAGCUCAGAAAAUAUAAUUAGGCCAAAUAUCAUGUUAAACUUGAAUUUUCUAGUUAUGCUGGCAAUUUUUUUUCCUUUAUUUAUACCUAAUGUUAAUAGUUUUAUCUAUGUAAGAAAUAGAAAUCCUCACUGCUCAAGAUGUGAUGAUUGUUAUAUGAGCAAAUGGCAUUUACACUUGCCACAAAACAAAACAAGAAAAAUAAACAUAAACUAACCAAAAUGGAAAACAUUCUUGUCAAAAGUUAAAUAUUGGAUUUGUUCUACCAUAGACAAAGUCAUGGUCAGGGGUAUUAUGAAACUAGGCAACCCCAAACCCCAAGAAAGUUCUGUAUGGCUGGAGUAGCAGUAACUCCUCACGGCAGGUCAACACUUGUUUAAUUAUCACUGUACAGCCCAUAGUUGUUACACCAGAAUCAUAAAAUACAUGUUUUAUGUUCUAUUUCUA
rnacentral:lncRNA from 1 species